rnacentral:rRNA from 1 species
UACGGGGGGGGCAAGCGUUGUUCGGAAUUACUGGGCGUAAAGGGCUCGUAGGCGGCCAACUAAGUCAGACGUGAAAUCCCUCGGCUUAACCGGGGAACUGCAUCUGAUACUGGAUGGCUUGAGUUCGGGAGAGGGAUGUGGAAUUCCAGGUGUAGCGGUGAAAUGCGUAGAUAUCUGGAGGAACACCGGUGGCGAAGGCGGCGUUCUGGACUGCAUCUGACACUGAGGAACGAAAGCCAGGGGAGCAAACGGG